rnacentral:rRNA from 1 species
UACGUAGGGGUCGAGCGUUGUCCGGAGUUACUGGGCGUAAAGCGCGCGCAGGCGGCGCGAUAAGACCGGCGUGAAAGCCCCCGGCUCAACCGGGGAGGGUCGUUGGUGACUGUCGCGCUUGAAGGCAGCAGGGGUGAGUCGGAAUUCCGGUGUAGUGGUGAAAUGCGUAGAGAUCGGGAGGAACACCCGUGGCGAAGGCGGCUCACUGGGCUGACACUGACACUGAGAGACGAAAGCUAGGGGAGCGAAUGGG